AGAGUUUGAUCCUGGCUCAGAACGAACGCUGGCGGCAGGCCUAACACAUGCAAGUCGAACGUGAAGCCACCUUCGGGUGGUGGAAAGUGGCAGACGGGUGAGUAACGCGUGGGAACGUGCCUUUCGGUUCGGAAUAACCCAGGGAAACUUGGGCUAAUACCGGAUACGCCCUUCGGGGGAAAGAUUUAUCGCCGAAAGAUCGGCCCGCGUCGGAUUAGCUUGUUGGUGGGGUAACGGCCUACCAAGGCGACGAUCCGUAGCUGGUCUGAGAGGAUGAUCAGCCACACUGGGACUGAGACACGGCCCAGACUCCUACGGGAGGCAGCAGUGGGGAAUAUUGGACAAUGGGCGCAAGCCUGAUCCAGCCAUGCCGCGUGGGUGAAGAAGGUUUUCGGAUUGUAAACCUCUGUCCUUGGUGAAGAAGAUGACUGUAGCCGAGGAGGAAGCCACGGCUAACUACGUGCCAGCAGCCGCGGUAAUACGUAGGUGGCAAGCGUUGUCCGGAAUUACUGGGUGUAAAGGGAGCGUAGGCGGGAAUGCAAGUUGAAUGUUAAAACUACAGGCUCAACCUGUAGUCGCGUUCAAAACUGUAUUUCUUGAGUGAAGUAGAGGUAGGCGGAAUUCCUAGUGUAGCGGUGAAAUGCGUAAAUAUUAGGAGGAACACCAGUGGCGAAGGCGGCCUACUGGGCUUUAACUGACGCUGAGGCUCGAAAGCGUGGGUAGCAAACAGGAUUAGAUACCCUGGUAGU
rnacentral:rRNA from 1 species